CUUGACAGUGGCAGAUCAUAAAACCAAUGAGGUAUUGGCAGCCUACCGAAUUCCUGUGAAGUGCCUCCAUGUCUUCCAACCCUAUCAUUUUGAGCUGGUGAUGCCAAAAAAGGGGGACCCAGCUGGCCCCAAAUUGUAUACCUCCAUCAUGCGUAAGAGCAGUUUCAUUCCCCGCUGCAUUGGAUUCACUUACACUGCUUUGGAGGUCUUCCUCCACGGCAUGACUCAACCUCUGAAAAAGUCUGUCGGUCCUAUCGUGGUGGUGGUCCGAGUAGUCACCAACUACAGGGACUUUGUGUGAGUGGUGGGUCAGGGAGACUAAGAGAAGAGCAUGGCUGGUCCAGCAGGCACCCUCACCCCAACCUGCUUGAAAGACAGGCCCAAUCUCCAGGUGUCUCACUGGACUAGGUGCUUGGCCACCACCUGCUCCUGAAUUGUGUCAGUGCUCCAUCUUCUUAGCUCUUGACAUAUCAG